GAUGAACGCUGGCGGCGUGCCUAAUACAUGCAAGUCGAGCGAACAGACGAGGAGCUUGCUCCUCUGACGUUAGCGGCGGACGGGUGAGUAACACGUGGAUAACCUACCUAUAAGACUGGGAUAACUUCGGGAAACCGGAGCUAAUACCGGAUAAUAUAUUGAACCGCAUGGUUCAAUAGUGAAAGACGGUUUUGCUGUCACUUAUAGAUGGAUCCGCGCCGCAUUAGCUAGUUGGUAAGGUAACGGCUUACCAAGGCAACGAUGCGUAGACGACCUCAGAGGGUGAUCGGCCACACUGGAACUGAGACACGGUCCAGACUCCUACGGGAGGCAGCAGUAGGGAAUCUUCCGCAAUGGGCGAAAGCCUGACGGAGCAACGCCGCGUGAGUGAUGACGGUCUUCGGAUCGUAAAACUCUGUUAUUAGGGAAGAACAAAUGUGUAAGUAACUAUGCACGUCUUGACGGUACCUAAUCAGAAAGCCACGGCUAACUACGUG
rnacentral:rRNA from 1 species